rnacentral:rRNA from 1 species
CAGCCGCCGCGGUAAAACAGAGGGUGCGAGCGUUAAUCGGAUUUACUGGGCGUAAAGCGUGCGUAGGCGGCUUUUUAAGUCGGAUGUGAAAUCCCUGAGCUUAACUUAGGAAUUGCAUUCGAUACUGGGAAGCUAGAGUAUGGGAGAGGAUGGUAGAAUUCCAGGUGUAGCGGUGAAAUGCGUAGAGAUCUGGAGGAAUACCGAUGGCGAAGGCAGCCAUCUGGCCUAAUACUGACGCUGAGGUACGAAAGCAUGGGGAGCAAACAGGAUUAGAUACCCGGGUAGUCCCUGUCUCUUAUAA